AUUGAACGCUGGCGGAAGGCCUAACACAUGCAAGUCGAGCGGAGCGGCGGACGGGUGAGUAAUGCCUAGGAAUCUGCCUGGUAGUGGGGGAUAACGUUCGGAAACGGGCGCUAAUACCGCAUACUAUCAAAUGAGCCUAGGUAGGAUUAGGUAGUUGGUGGGGUCACGGCAUACCAAGGCGACGAUCCGUAACUGGUCUGAGAGGAUGAUCAGUCACACUGGAACUGAGACACUGUCCAGACUCCUACGGGAGGCAGCAGUGGUGAAUAUUGGACAAUGGGCGAAAGCCUGAUCCAGCCAUGCCGCGUGUGGUAAGAAGGUCUUCGGAUUGUAAAGCACUUUAAGUUGGGAGGCGUUACCAACAGAAUAAGCACCGGCUAACUCCGUGCCAGCCGCCGCGGUAAUAC
rnacentral:rRNA from 1 species